rnacentral:rRNA from 1 species
CCUACGAGAGGCUGCAGUGGGGAAUAUUGGACAAUGGGGGCAACCCUGAUCCAGCCAUGCCGCGUGUGUGAAGAAGGCCCUCGGGUUGUAAAGCACUUUCAGUGAGGAAGAACGCCUGGUGGUUAAUACCCAUCAGGAAAGACAUCACUCACAGAAGAAGCACCGGCUAACUCCGUGCCAGCAGCCGCGGUAAUACGGAGGGUGCGAGCGUUAAUCGGAAUUACUGGGCGUAAAGCGCGCGUAGGUGGCUUGAUAAGCCGGUUGUGAAAGCCCCGGGCUCAACCUGGGAACGGCAUCCGGAACUGUCAAGCUAGAGUGCAGGAGAGGAAGGUAGAAUUCCCGGUGUAGCGGUGAAAUGCGUAGAGAUCGGGAGGAAUACCAGUGGCGAAGGCGGCCUUCUGGACUGACACUGACACUGAGGUGCGAAAGCGUGGGUAGCAAACAGGAUUAGAUACCCCUGUAGUC